rnacentral:rRNA from 1 species
CUCAAAGGAAUUGACGGGGGCCCGCACAAGCGGUGGAGCAUGUGGUUUAAUUCGAAGCAACGCGAAGAACCUUACCAGGUCUUGACAUCCUCUGAAAACCCUAGAGAUAGGGCUUCUCCUUCGGGAGCAGAGUGACAGGUGGUGCAUGGUUGUCGUCAGCUCGUGUCGUGAGAUGUUGGGUUAAGUCCCGCAACGAGCGCAACCCUUGAUCUUAGUUGCCAUCAUUAAGUUGGGCACUCUAAGGUGACUGCCGGUGACAAACCGGAGGAAGGUGGGGAUGACGUCAAAUCAUCAUGCCCCUUAUGACCUGGGCUACACACGUGCUACAAUGGACGGUACAAAGAGCUGCAAGACCGCGAGGUGGAGCUAAUCUCAUAAAACCGUUCUCAGUUCGGAUUGUAGGCUGCAACUCGCCUACAUGAAGCUGGAAUCGCUAGUAAUCGCGGAUCA